CCCACUUUGCCCGGAGCCAGGAGCUAAGCUUCUCCACUGGUCCCCAGCUGCAGAACCCCGCGUCCUGCCUGGGUGCCCAAGAGGGAGGGGGUGAACCCUGGAGGAACCGGGAGAGGCCGCAGGGCGCCUGCCCAGGGCACGGAGGCCGUCUCGGCGUCUUCCGUGCUGUGAAUGACGCGGCAGUGAACGCGGAUGAACACCGAGUGGUGAAACACAGCCCUGCCCUGCGGCACCCUCUCCGGCCUCACGUUCCCCGCAAGCAGCAGUUCUCUCUCUGUGACAAAGCGUCCGUGUUGUUUGCCGCCGCCUGGAGCAGUGCGGGGCGCAGGGGAGGCGGCCAGCAGAAGUGUGCUGAGUGAGAGAGUUUUAAUCUCCUACCUCCAGGCCUCAGGGCCCCGAAAUCUCCGGUGCUGGGUGAUGGCCAGACAGAGCAGACCUGUGGUCGCAGGUGGGAGCAGGAAACCCUGGAAAAAUUAUCCGUCAGAAUGGAAAUGGUAAGUGAAGCUAAGAGAUGGGUUGGCGCUGGAGCGUGUCUUGUUCCUACACGCCCAGGACACGCCUGUCACCUGCCAGGAGACGGGGGAGCUCCGAGUGGCCAGGAGAAGCUGGCCAUGGUGAGACUUUCCACUUGUUUGC